GCGGGUGUGGCGGAAUUGGCAGACGCGCGAGGUUUAGGUCCUCGUAUCCGCAAGGAUGUGGAGGUUCGAGUCCUCUCACCCGUA
rnacentral:tRNA from 1 species